CUACCUACUCCUUCUCAGCCCGUCUUCGCUUCCCCCCACCCACUUUCCUCAGAGCGGACGGAGCCGAGGGGGCGGGGGCUCCCUCCCGGGAGCGUUUCUAGAGCUCGGAGGCAGCUAGUAGGGGUUUCAUUGUCCACAUGUUUAAAGUCUAACAGAAAAAAAAAAAAUCACUGGAUGUGAAGUUGGGAGACAGAGCCAAGUCUACAUCUACAUCGUCAUGCUGGUGACCUUGGGGCACCACUUUCAGAUAAAAACAUAGACCUGAAUGGCAUCAUCCAGUAUCCAAGGAAACCAUUCUGGCAUCUUCAUGCAACUGAAAGGAUGUUCCACUGAACAGUGACGACUCUGGAGAGAGAAAAGAAAUCACAGAUGGCCAAAUGCAGCUUGAGAGCCACUGAGGGAAGGCCAAGUGAGGAUAGAUCAAGAAGGCAGCUAUCUAUAAGCCAGGAAGAGAAUCUCACCAAAACCCAAAUCGUCUGGCACCUUGAACAUGGACUUCCAGCCUCCAGAAUUGUGAGAAGAUAAGUUUCUGUCAUUUAAGCACUCAGUCCAUGGUACUUUGUUAUGGCAGCCCACAGAGACUAACACAGCAAUUAAAACCAAAUCUUAUUCAAGCAGGUCCUCAUCCUGUAGGGGGGAGAGGGAACAGCCACGGAGAUCUAGCUGAAUUGGAUAUACAUGCUCAUGUGCUUUGUCCCUUUGGAAGUGAAAGUCAAGGUUAUCAUCACAGUGGGCCCAAAGAGCCCUCAAAGUCAAAAUGGCGAAGUCAAAAUGGCUCAAAACAUUUUGUACUCUUUAGAAUCGCAUACAGCAGUAUUUGAGUCUGCACGAUUAGGGUUGAAAGGGAAAAUGAUGGCAAAAGUUUUCAAAGAGAAGGUGAGAGUCUGUGUCUUGAAGAAUGAAUAGUAGUUUUCUAGAAAAUGAGGUGAAAGAAAGUAUGUGUUCCUCAGAGAGAACAGAGGUGUAAGUGAACACAGUGGAAUCCUGGAUUCUGGAGACUAACUAAUUCCUUGUGGCUGGAGCUUACACACUAAAUGGAGGAGUUAUAGAAGGUGAGGCUGGAAAUAUAAGAGAGAGCCAGUUCUUUAAAAAUCUUCAUUGGUUAAGCUUGAAAUCAGACUUCAGUCAGUGACAUGGAGGACAUAAAAGAAUUUUAACCUGUGUGGUUAUAGAAUUAGAUCUGCAGGUUAGAAAUGUACUUUCGAUGCACUGUGGAGAUUGUACUGGAACCCAAUCCUGCAGUUAAGGCUUCGGAUGGGAUUUAAGGUAGUGACGCUGAACCAUGAAUUCUCUUGGAUACAGAAAAGCAGUCAUGAAGCUGCCUUUGAUUAUUACCUCCUUAGCUGAAGGACAGAGUUCAAAUUUUCAAUCACUUCAGAAUUCCAGUAAUACUUCCUCCUUUUUAUUAUGGCACUGGAAUAACAUUUCUAGAAAAGAAAUGACUUACUGUUCUUGUGGAUACCACACAUCAGGAAUGACACCCAUACUCUGGUCCUCAUCAAAACCAAAGUGGCUGCAAAAUGAGCAAGCCGGUGGUCUGGUGAGAAAUUCAGCAUUCUCUUUUUCUUCUUUUGAGUACUCCUUGGUUUCAUUUUUAUGAAGUACCACACUUUGCUGUGCUUUUCGCUGAAUCUGCUUACAUGUUCUUAAUCCAGUGUUUCAGAGGGCAGUAAAAAGAAGACGUAAACAUGUUCAAUGAGUAAUUACUAAUCAAGCCCUAAGGCCAACAGGAGUCAUAAAAUGUACAACGUCACCUUAGCCUGGCCGGGAUGCUGUAGGCUGGAGCUAGUCAAAUACAGGAGGAAGUUCAUGUUUUUGUGGUGUGGAGUGGACUUUUUCUGUGUGCCUACUGGGUUUUAAAACAAUUGUAAAAUUACUACUCUUAGACUCUCCUGAGACUAACUGCCAAGAGAGAAAGGUGGACAACUUUGUCUUGUGAUUAACACACCUUCCCCACUCAGUAUUGUGCUCAUUCUUUCCUCUUCAAACGAAACGUCGGCCUAGUGGAGCGGCACUGUUCCCUCUUUUAUGUGUCACGUGGAAUCCUUGAAACUGACUUUACCUGUUAGCGCUAACAACAGUGAUGAUUGGUUAUUGUGACGCCUGCAGAUGCCUUUCUUCCUGGGCAGUUGUUAUCAAUCUGGGAAUCUUGUCACCCCAGUCCCCCCAUAAUGUUUCCUUAUGACUGCAUUCUUAGUAGCUGUAAGUAACUCUUUUACUCAACAGGGAACAAGGGCCAGAUGGCAUGCAGACAUGUGCUUGAGACUGGGUGAGUCUCAUUUGUUCUCUAUUUCUCGUUACUUACUGUCACUCCUUAGCUAACCACACAUAAGGAACCCACCCUGUGGGCUGCUUUUUGUCAUAUAUAUCUGAGACACAAUUACAGUAAUGGGCUUUUCAUUAACAUUAUUGUUAUUAUGGGUUUAUUUUUGUUGUUUUUCAAUCUGGCUCUUUUUUUUUUUUUUUUAAAGGUGAGAUAUAAAUAAAUCCAACAAUGUAAACAG